rnacentral:rRNA from 1 species
AUUGAACGCUGGCGGCAGGCCUAACACAUGCAAGUCGAACGAGUGGCGGACGGGUGAGUAAUGUCUGGGAAACUGCCCGAUGUAGGGGGAUAACUACUGGAAACGGUAGCUAAUACCGCAUACGAUUGGAUAUGCCCAGUUGGGUUUAGCUCGUAGGUGGGGUAAUGGCUCACCUAGGCGACGAUCCCUAGCUUGUCUGAGAGGAUGACCAGUCACAUUGGAACUGAGGCACGGUCCCGACUCGUACGGGAGGCAGCAGUGGGAAAUAUGGCACAAUGGGCGCAAGCCUGAUGAAGCCAUGCGGCGUGUAUGAAGAAAGCCUUCGGGUUGUAAAGUACUUUCAGCGAGGAGGCGUAUCUCGCAGAAGAAGCACCGGCUAACUCCGUGCCAGCAGCCGCGGUAAGUC